UGCUUCCCUCUCCUUCCUCGCCUCAGGUGUUUUCUGUCACUUCUUGUUGAAUUCCCGUGUUCUGUCUUAGAUGAUUUAUUGGAAGCAUGAUUAUCUACUUGCUGUGUUGGUUCCUCUCUGUGGAGUAGGCGGGUAUCAGAUGUCCUCAGUCAGCCAUCUUGAGGCCCCUCCUUCUUUGUUAAAUCUUAUGGAUUCAAACUGAGGUUUUGCGAGAAACAGAAACAGCUUUAGCUUCCCACGGGCUCAGAACAGACCCUAGGACCCUGUAAGGCUCACCUACCUCCUUUUAGAUAACUUAGUGCCAGCUUAGCUAUCAGUGAGUACAACUAGAGAUGAGGAAGCAGGCCCAGAGAUGGGGCCUCACUUACCCCAGGUCACACAGCAGAGCCAACCCUGUAGCCUAGGGCUUUUGACCAGGUCCCUGCUCUCUCGUCUCAGGGUGAUUGCUAGCUCCACACUCACACCGCCCAAAUGCUGAGGAGAUGAACCCUGAUGUAGGCCGAGGCCUCUGGGUGCUCACUGUCCCUGUCUCUGAAAGGUCAGCUGUUCCUGAAAGGAACCCUUCCAGCCUUCUAUUUCCAGCACAGUCUUUUCCUCCACAUUGAUUGCCUUCUGUUGAGCAGACCAGAUUGAGGAGAUCGAUGACAUUAAUUUGCACUGAGAAGAAGUUGGUGAUUUUCCUCCUUCAGCUGUGACAAGGCUGCCUGAGGCUUUUGGUCAGAAAAAGAUGCCAGCUUUAAAAAAUCUCUGCAGAAGUUUUCUCAGAAGAAUCGCAGAAUCUUGGAGCAGGAAGAAGCUUCCAGAAGACUUAAUUUUAUCCAAUUUCUUCACGGCGGAUGAAGGCACACGGAGCCCACAGUAUGGAAAGAGUGUGCCUCAGGAAACAGAGCUGAACACUUGCUCUUUUCAUGUUUUCCUCUUUUAUCUGGACCUUGGCCCCCCGGGUAGGAGGCACCUGGGGCUGGCUGAGGCACAGGAUGAGUGGAGAGGAAGGCUCUGUGGGAGCCACUCCCAUAGCCCAGGUGAGAUGUGAUGGGGUCUGGGCUCAGGCAGUUGUUGGAUGGAUGGGGAGGAUGAAGGUUAAACAAAGAUAAUUGUGAGACAGAAUCGAUGGGGUAUAGUGACUGGUUACAUGUGUGAGUUGGAGGAGGGAUGGAGUUCGGGGCUUCUGUUUUGGUUGCUGGCUGAAUGGCUAUUGCUGCCCAGGACCAGGAAAGUAUAAGAGGUGGUGAGCAAGGAAGUGGUGGCAUUUCAGAGGGGUGAGCAAUGAGCUUUGGAUGUGUUAUGGGACGUCCAGAGGAGGCUGCUAGGUAGUGAGAUGUAGGCCUGAAGCUCAGAGCACAGGACUGAGCAGGAGAUGUAGCAUUUCUCCAACAUGUUCUGGACGCUGAACCUGUGGGAAGGAGGAUUUGCAGGGGCGAGUUCACGGCCAGGUAAAGCGGAGUCCGAGUUGAUUCCCGGGCCAUGCUCUUUCCACUAAACCGUAUGCCCAAGGGAAGAUAACAAGGAUCACAGGCCAAUUCCCAGAGAAGGUUUAUGUCCCCAGUUUUCACAGUCAUUUCCUUCUUUGACUAGCAUUGCGUAUAUUGGUAGAUAUGACACUGUCCCUCCCUGCUGACACUGAUGAGCAUGGGUUCUUUGGAGCAGUGAGUCUGAUGUUUUCUGGUCUUGGUAAAAUGAUUCCUUGGAGUUGAUGAGAGGGCUUGGACGAAGUGGGUACAGACAUGGCUGGCACCUCAAUCUCCCACCAUUCCAGGGACUCCAGGCCGGGCAAAGCGUCUCCAGAUUUCUCUGACCCCCUUCCCACCCAGGCAGGCCCAGGUCCACAAAGAGGGGAUAGAGCUAUCCACUGAAGGGCUAAGUGGCUUUCUCUGGUGUCCUGAAUACAGUAUUAAGAACCAGGCAUUAAGAACCAUUGUCAGUAAUUUGUCACCUUGAUUUCUCUCCAGCUGUUUGGUAAUUCAUGUUAAGUCCCAAGUGAGUAUGUGUGCUGGUUCCUGGCAGGAUUCAAAGAAUAGAGGUCAAAAGAAAAUAAAAGCCUUUCUGGGAUUUCUUAGAUCAGGUGGCUUAACCUUUUGAAAAAGAUUUUUCAAUAACUCACUCCAGAUUUAGCAGAGAUUCCGUUCGGAAGGAUUCUGGCGAAACAGCGUGAGUUGACAACUCUGCUUCUGAAUAGUACAUUAUUUAUUCAGUGCCAGCCACGAGCCCGGCAGGUGAUGAGCUAAACUAAACUUGCUGGCACACACACGCAGAACUCAGGAACAGCAGAGUGAUGGCAGCCUCAUCUCAAAGUGGCUCCUUCAAGGAGGAGGACUAAGAGUGUUAAGCUUCUUGAUUCUCAGAAUGCUUGCUCUGGAAGAAGCCAGCUGCCGUGUAAGAAAUCAGAUGUCUCUGAGACCACCAUGCUGUGAGAGGCCACGACUGCCACAUGCAGAGGCUACAUGGAGAGAGAGAGAGAGAGGAGAGGGACAGAGAGAGAGAUGCUCAGCCAUCCCCGAGCCAAGGCAUAAACACAUGAGUGAGGAAGCCAGGUUGGAUGUUCCCACCCCCUCCGGUCCUCAGAUGACACCAGCCUCAGCUGCCAUCUGACUGCAACCAGAAGAGGCACCCAGAAAGACCUGCCCAGCUGAGCCCAGUCAAUCCUUAGAACAAUGAGAAGUAAUA
rnacentral:lncRNA from 1 species